rnacentral:rRNA from 1 species
UACGUAGGGGGCAAGCGUUGUUCGGAAUUACUGGGCGUAAAGGGCUCGUAGGUGGCCAACUAAGUCAGACGUGAAAUCCCUCAGCUUAACUGGGGAACUGCGUCUGAUACUGGAUGGCUUGAGAUUGGGAGAGGGAUGCGGAAUUCCAGGUGUAGCGGUGAAAUGCGUAGAUAUCUGGAGGAACACCGGUGGCGAAGGCGGCAUCCUGGACCAACACUGACACUGAGGAGCGAAAGCGUGGGGAGCAAACAGG